UACGUAGGGGCCAAGCGUUGUCCGGAUUUAUUGGGCGUAAAGAGCUCGUAGGCGGUUCGGCAAGUCGAAUGUGAAAUCUCCACGCUCAACGUGGAGGGGUCAUUCGAUACUGCCGUGACUUGAGUACGGUAGGGGAGUGUGGAAUUCCCGGUGUAGCGGUGAAAUGCGCAGAGAUCGGGAGGAACACCCGUAGCGAAGGCGGCACUCUGGGCCGAUACUGACGCUGAGGUGCGAAAGCGUGGGGAGCAAACAGG
rnacentral:rRNA from 1 species